CCAGGGGGCCGGGCAGCCGCGUGCCUGUCCUCGCGAAAGCGGGGAUGGAUGCGAGGAAAGUCCGGGCUCCACGAAACAAGGGUGGCGGGUAACGCCCGCCGUGGGCAACCAUAGGGAAAGUGCCACAGAGAGCAUACCGCCGAUGGCUUCUUCGGAAGAUCAGGCAAGGGUGAAAGGGUGCGGUAAGAGCGCACCGGGGUUCUGGUAACAGCGCCCGCAUGGCAAACCCCACCCGGAGCAAGGCCAAAUAGGGGUCUCGCGCCUUCUUGAAAGGCAGUGGCGUUUCGCCGCGAGAGACCCGGGUUGGCUGCUUGAGCGCGGGAGCAAUCCCCCGCCCAGACGAAUGGCUGCCCCCGCAGGGCUGGUGUUUCACAUACCGCCUGCGGGACAGAACCCGGCUUACAGGCCCCCUGGCAAU
rnacentral:RNase_P_RNA from 1 species